GUUCCUGGGGUGUUCUUCACCCCCAGUGUCAAUAAAAUGGAGGUUCCAAUUGGGAAUCGUCUUGUUCGAGAGUGUGUAUUUCGUCGAGGUACAGGACCGUACUGUCAGUGGUAUUUUCAAAGGUAAGCCUUAAACAAUGCCAGCAGGAAUUACAACUUUAGCUUGGACAGGAGAGAGCUGGCCAUUGAGUCCUUCCAGUCCCAGCACCAAGGCAGAUACCAGUGCGUCGUGAUCAAUAGGGGUUGGGACGAUAUUUAAUGUGACCAGGAAUUCCAUCAACCUCACAGAGCCAGGGCAAGGUGAACAGUGCAGAUCCUGGUACCACUCGAGACCUGAGCUCCUUCCAGUCUUUUUCUGUUUCCCAAAUUCUAAAACAUUUCAGUGAGAUAAAAUAAACUCACCAACAGAUGGACAUCUCCACAAAUGGAAUGAUUACACAGUUCAAUGUCCAGCUCCCAAUAUAUUAACUGUUG